rnacentral:lncRNA from 1 species
CCUGGAUUUCGCUUACUUCCUCCUUACCCAUGCAGACUGUAAGAAAGAUAAAAUAUUUGAAGAUCUGAUGAUAAUCAGAGAUCCAUUGUGUGCAGGAGUCAAUCCUUCAAGCUCUUUCUCAUAUUCCCAGAAUAUUUAUCUCAGUGAAGAUUUCAGAGUACUUACUAAAUCAUCAGAAUGAAUGAAGAACCCAUGGUAUGUAUCAAAGCGUUCAAUUAACGAUAAUAAAUAUUUAACUGCAAAGUGUCAAAUUUGGGUCAUUCCAUGCUAAAUCAAAUCAAAAUUUGACCCGGCCUCUUUAGAAUUUGAUGAAAUUUAGUACACUCACUCUACUCAUUGAGCUGAUUCCACAAAUUUGAUUUUUAAUGUUUUUGUCUCUUGGUUGAACUUUUAUUGAGCUUUAAAGUUCGAGUAAAAUAAUGGAGGUUAUCCCCUUCAAUUGCUUGUAUUUUCGGAGCCGUUUAUUUGAUCUGAACCAUUCUGGUGCCGAUUAAAAGCUCUUGAAACGGGUUUUCCACGUAUGUACACCAAAUUUGAAUACACC